GUGAUUAUCCGGGAUGUACUCUAUGAGGAUUCUUGUACUACUGCUAGAGGUCAAGGUCACAUAUCCUCCUCUAUGCUUAUUUCUAAUAUUAAUAUAAUAAGUCAGGCGUGGAGAUGAGCCUCCCAGCUUGGCUGGGUUCCAAACCCCUUCAAAAAAAAAAAAAAAUCAAUCCAACUUAGGCCCAGUUUGGGAUUGAUUCCUAAAUUGCUUUUGGGAUCAAAAGUGCUUUUGGGUCUAUUGUAGGCUGUUAGGUAAAAUCCUUGAUAUCAGCUUUUGGUCACUCUAGCUUCUUCCAACAGCGGAAAUUGAGAAGCUACAUUUCGUAGCUUUUGAAAACAGCUUCUGCGGGAAGAAUGAAAAACACGGAGAAAUUAAUGAAUUGCCUCGCCUCUAUUACUGAUCGCCUUCUCCUCCUCCUUCUUUUGCUGUCGCUGAAAAAAUUUGAGCAGCAUCAUUUAUCCUUAUCAGAAAAUUGAGAGAGGACUUCCACUUCUGAUCACCUUUUGAAGAGCAUUCAGCCUCAUUUCAGGCACAAAUACAGUACAGGCAUUUGGUUUGUGAAAGCUUACAAAUUUGAAAUUUCCCAUGAAUCCGAGUUUACCCAGAAAAACAAGCCCAGACCCAGUUUGAGAAAUGCACGAUUUCUGCUUCACGAUCCUCUACAGGUUGUUGCUGGUGGGUGGAGGAAUAUUUGGGCAUUUCAGAAAGUGGAACACAACUUCUCUGUUUGAAGGUCUAGGCAUUGGAUUGGUUCUCACUGUUGCUAGCAAUCUCAGUCUCCAAGCCUUUCAUAAGACUUGCUCUAAUUCUUGAAACAGGAUGCUUGCAAUUUUUCUGGCGUUGAGGGCAUCAGAGAGUUUUGUUACUCUAGAAGUUACAAGGUGAUGCAUUUAUGUGAUCAUGACAUGAAAGAGAAGCUGUCCAUGAUUUGAGUUGUGAGGAUCCUAUCUCCAAGAUCCAAUUUGUUAACCAGCAACAACUUUGAGGCGGUGUUUUAGUGCAAAACUCAAAGAAAAGGCAAUGGAACUCAUUCUUUGAAUCUGUUACGUUAGGCAACCUUCAUUUUUGAAGGUCUUCCUCAGCUAGAUAGAUUUUCUUGAAUAAUUUAUCUUUUCAUGAUGUUGUUAAUUGAGAACUUGGGGGGAUUCUAAUCAAGCAAGUUUUAUUUUUUUUUUUCUUAUGAGACUACGGUUUUCCCAUUUGUAUCAUACAAGCUUCUUAAUGAGAUUCCUCUCCAUUAGAAGUAC